rnacentral:lncRNA from 1 species
AUAUGUAUCAACAUUGUUUUGCCCAGUAAGGUGAGGGCAAAAAUUACGCCAAAGCAUCUUCGCGCAGCGACGAUGCACCCCACCCAAGGAAAAUGCAACCUCCAUGUGUAACGCCAUAAAAUAGAAAAACGAUAAACCACCGCCCUUGCAAAUGGUUUGUUAACUCUAAGCAUCGAGGCCUUACUUCAACUUGUUCGAGUAAAAGAAAUAAAAACCUUUCACAAACAAUCGCCCGUGCAAACUGUUUGCGGUCACCUGAUAUGCCCCAAAAUUUAUGUGGUCGAACCCCUAACGAUCGCCCGUGCAAACCGCGGGAGAUUAGACGCACACAAUAUAGAUAGUUAUAAGUACUAAUAUAAUUAAAUCUUUACCAUACACUCAGUGUCAAUUGACUGGGAAACGAAUGCAAGACGUCAUAAUCACUUGGUGACCUCGUGCAUUGAUUAACCUCGAUAAAUAUAGAUAGGACGUAUGUAAGGCACUGUGAAAGAGAUUGCCGCCCGUGCAAGCAAGUCUAACAAGUUGGAGCACGACCCAGACACUCCCCGCUAGUGCCAGGCCGCACGGAUGUGCCAUACAUAAGUACUACAUAUAUAUAUAUAUAUAUAUAUAUAUAUAUAUAUA